GUGGUCCUAAAGGUCUUUCCCAAUACAAGGGAGCGCUGGGGACAGUGGGAGUGCCAGGUCAGGGAUGCAGCGGGCUUGCAGUGCGCGUCGAGCUGGGGACCUCCGGAGACUGAGCGCUGUAGAGCGCGCGCUGGCUGGAGGCAGGAGCUGACUGCCUGGCCACGGCGCGCAGGGGUGACUCCCAGGACGACGCAGUCCGGACACCGCGAGCAGUGAGGCGUCCUGGGGAUCAAAGGAGCCAAAGGAGGCCAGCCGGCGCGUCUGGGAUUGUGGGAUAAGAGGCGGGAGAGAGACUGGCAGGGGCGGGGAGAUGUUGGCCCGUCCCUUGUCACUUGGGAGGGUGUACGUGUGCAUCUUUGUAUGGGUCAAUACGCUCCUGCCCGAGGCCGAGCCCUGGGUGGAUCAGAGUGUGGGUGGACAGGCUCCCUGGUGGGUGCCCCUACGGGAGGGAGGGAAAGCGGGCAAGAGAGCUAGAUCAAGGGCAGCGAGGUCUGCGGGUUCCUCUGUGUGUGUGUCUCAGGCCCUGUGGCUCAGCACUGGAGCCGCCUGGCACCCACAGGAAUGCGGCUUCUCUCGGAUCCCCAGGCUGCCUCUUGUCCCACAAGGAGGUGGCCGCCAGGAAAAAGAGGGAGAAAAGGGCAGAAGUCCGCCUAGCCCAACCCGAGCCUCAAACAAAGGCCAAUUUAUCUGAUCUCUUACAGGAGGGCCUAUGAGGCUGGCAGGGCACCGAGGGAUCUCAAAGCCUUCUCUGCGUGCCCUGAGUCCCCCUGGGCUUUGUCAGGAGGUCGGAAGAUGGGAGGUGGGGGUUGGAAGUAUUUGGGGUGUGAGAGAAGAGCCCACUGGAAAAAAAAAAACCCCAAAAAACUAAUCUUGGAAUGGGCUUAAUGCAUCUUCAAAGCAUGACAGUGCUUCCAAGCACAAGAAUGAGAGAGCUAGACAAGUGGGGAUAGGAAGGGAUAGGCAGAGGGGAUUCCCAGUUCGAAAGCCAGAAGUGUUGGGUCAGCCAAUCUGGAAAUAUUCUGAGUAGCAGUACAGGUAACUGUUAGACAUAGGAAGAAAUAAUGGAGGACAAGAAGGAGGCAGGGUGGGAGGAGGGAAAAAGGAAGGGACAGAGAGAGAGAGAGAGAGAGAGAGAGAGAGAGAGAGAGAGAGAGACUGAUAUUUUUAGAAUUUGCUGAGGGUCUGUUAUUUUUACAUCCUUGGGCCAGGGCUGCAGGGAGUUAAAUUCCCUGUGGAGAAUCCCUGUGGUGCCAGGAAAGCCCACUACAGAUUGGUUUGCCAGAAUAUUUUUGUUCAGACCUCCAGGAUCAGAUAAAUUUUUUUUUUUUUAAAAAACCCUGUGAGAGAAGAGGACACUGCAAGAGGAAAGAGUGAGGUUAUCACAAGGGAAGCAAUCCUGAAACAGUCUGCGUUCACAAGAGAAAGGAAAAAGGAAGAGAAGGGAGAAAUAGAGGAGAUGGAAGGCUGUGGGGAGAGAAGAACCAAAGAGAGAAUGAGAGAGAACACAGCAAAACACAGUAGUCCCAAAAAGGAAAGCAAGAGAGAGCAGGCCAUCUAAUAGAGCGUCCCCGAGGCCAGCGCCAGCGGGUGCUGUAAGGAGCCGGGCGGCGGCAGGUGGGAAUUGAUAGAGGUGGCUGCGCUUGGGUACCAGGAAGCAGAGUUCUCCAGGCCCCGGUCAGUGGGACUACGAGACAACGGAAGGGGACCAUCCGGGGAGGCUUCCCCACACAACAGCGCCCCCCACCUGGCGACCUUCCGGGCGCGGCCGCCGCCCGAGGCUGCGGAGGAGCGGGGGCGACCUCUUGGGUCUCCGGCCUCUGCCCACCGCCGGCCCUCGGUCCCCGCUCACCCUGGGAAAGGCUUCGAGCAGUGAAGAGAAGCAGACACUCUGCUAAGAUUGCAAGACCGUCUAGAACAGACCCACCCGACGUUUGCAGCCUAGGACACUGGCCCCCGCCCCCGGAGGCGCGAGGCAGGGGCCACGUCGGGACGCGUCACACAGCCGUCCCCACCGCCGCGCUGGCCCCGUCCGCCUGCUCCGGCGGAAAGGGCGCAGAGGCUGGUGGCUCUCAAGGGUACUAUCGCGUCAGCUGCAGCCGGUCGGGACCGAACCGCGCAGCGCUGCCAGGCUCGCAGGCUCGGCAGGCCCGGUGCCCGGCGGCGACAGGAUUUACCUGUGUCUGCGUCAGUCCCAGAGAGGCCGCCAGCUCGGCGCGUUCUGGCAGGGCGAGGUACUGAGUCUUCUGAAACCUUCUCUGUAAUGCGGCCAGCUGAAAGCUGGAAUAAAUAGUCCUGGGUUUACGAAC